GCUGGGUGUGGUGGCGCAUGCCUGUAGUCCCAGCUACUUGGGAGGCUGAGGCAGGAGGAUUUCUUGAGCCCAGGAGGUUGAGGCUGCAGUGAACUAUGAUCGUGCCAUUGCACUCCAGCCUGGGUGACAGAGCAAGACCCUGUCUCAA
rnacentral:SRP_RNA from 1 species